CCACCCAUGCCAUCCGAUCGCACUCCGGUUUAUAGAAUAGUACUGUGGACCAUGAGAAAUGCCAGGCAGAAAAUGCCUAGGCGGUCCACAGACCCGGCCGUGGACCGUCCGAUCCACAGACCCGAUCGUGGACCGCCCGAUCCAUGGUGGACCGAGGUACAGGCUAGGCCCCAGCGAUGCCUGGGCCUGGGCUGGCCCGCGCGCGCCGGGCGUCUGGGCUCGGGCCACACCCCGCGUGCCCGCGCGUGGGCUGGGCUGCACGCCUGGGCCAUGCGCCCCAUGCAUUGGCU
rnacentral:lncRNA from 1 species